ensembl:misc_RNA Metazoa_SRP Metazoan signal recognition particle RNA
GCCAGGUGUGGUGGUGCAUGCCUGUAGUCCCAGCUACUUGGGAGGCUGAGGCAGGAGAAUGGCUUGAACCCAGGAGGCAGGGGUUGCAGUGAGUCGAGCUUGCACCACUGCACUCCAGCCUGGGCAACAGAGUGAGACUCUGUCUCAA